rnacentral:misc_RNA from 1 species
UGCCGCAGCUGCUGUGGCAUGGGCGCAUCUUUGUAAGGAGGCGUACAAACCGCCUUCAUGACCGUUUCGCCACCACACGGCAUUCGCCUCUUCCUCUCUCCUCUCCGGGCCAGCCACAAACGCACACACGCACAGGCGACGAAAUCUCCGGAUCCUUUCACGACGCAGCCGCUCCCCUCGUUCUCAUGGGUACCUACCUCUCCCUCCUGGUGCGCAAGCGACCAAGAGAAGAUGGAUCGGACGACGCAUCCUCUGCAGCCGGCUGCAGCGCCUCCCAUGCGGCGUCUCUUCCACCCUCCUCUCUCUCACACCUGCUUCGAAGCUUGCGAUAUCGCUGCGCUUCCCCGAGCCGUAUCGGGUCGGAGGUGUGCCGUUCCGUUGCGGAAGAUGAGGCGACGCGCCGCACGUACGGCUGUCACGCACACGUAUACGAGACCGACACCGUCGACGGGAGCCACGGCGUGGCCCUGGCGUGGCGCGUCGACGAGUUUGCUUCGCCUCUGUCGGCGCUCUCCCUCCUCUCACUGUGUCGUGUGGCCAACAGCUGCCGCAAAAAGACGCUGGUGACGACUCCAAAAGGCGAGGCAGUAGUACUAGCCUACGCCGCCGCCCUGUAGGAGCGGUGGCCGUGCGCAGGUGCACGCACGUGCCCACAGAGCAGGAUGGGCGACCGCGCUUGUUGCUUGCUUCUUUUUUUUCCUUUACCGUACUGCUCUCUCCCGCCUACUGUCCACCGGCAGGUGGUGGGCCCACUACCAAGCGAAAUGGAGCGGCAAAGCUCCCACAGACCCGUUUCCCUCAACAAGAACGGUGCUGACCGUUGCCUGGGGGCGUUUCUGUCUACCCUGCUCCUCCUCGUGGUGCGCCUCUUCUCCGCGGCGAGAGAUGUGCAACCACUUACACACCGACACCCACGCCCACACACACGCGUACACACACACACACAUAUAUAUAUAUACAUAUAUGUACGUAAACGCACCCGUGCAUUCCUUCGACUUUUGUUCUUCUCCUGCAUCUUUUUGUGCCCGUCGUUCUUCCUCCGACUCUCCGUGCCAUUUCGCUUGCGCGCGUGCUUUCGCCUGUCACCCAUUAUGCAUCCAUCAAUGAGGCAGCCGAC